GAGUUUGAUCCUGGCUCAGGAUGAACGCUGGCGGCGUGCUUAACACAUGCAAGUCGAACGGACUUAGAUGAAACCUAGUGAUUCUAAGUUAGUGGCGGACGGGUGAGUAACGCGUGGGUAACCUGCCGUAUACAGGGGGAUAACACUUAGAAAUAGGUGCUAAAACCGCAUAAGCGCACAGCAUCGCAUGAUGCAGUGUGAAAAACUCCGGUGGUAUACGAUGGACCCGCGUCUGAUUAGCUAGUUGGUGAGAUAGCGGCCCACCAAGGCAACGAUCAGUAGCCGGCCUGAGAGGGUGAACGGCCACAUUGGGACUGAGACACGGCCCAAACUCCUACGGGAGGCAGCAGUGGGGAAUAUUGCACAAUGGGGGAAACCCUGAUGCAGCGACGCCGCGUGAGUGAAGAAGUAUUUCGGUAUGUAAAGCUCUAUCAGCAGGAAAGAAAAUGACGGUACCUGACUAAGAAGCCCCGGCUAACUACGUGCCAGCAGCCGCGGUAAUACGUAGGGGGCAAGCGUUAUCCGGAUUUACUGGGUGUAAAGGGAGCGUAGACGGUAGUACAAGUCUGAAGUGAAAUGCGGGGGCUCAACCCCUGAACUGCUUUGGAAACUGUAUUACUAGAGUGCAGGAGAGGUAAGUGGAAUUCCUAGUGUAGCGGUGAAAUGCGUAGA
rnacentral:rRNA from 1 species